AGAGUUUGAUCCUGGCUCAGGACGAACGCUGGCGGCGUUAACACAUGCAAGUCGAGCGGUAAGGCCCUUUCGGGGGUACACGAGCGGCGAACGGGUGAGUAACACGUGAGUAAUCUGCCCUUCACUUUGGGAUAAGCCUCGGAAACGGGGUCUAAUACCGGAUACGACCAAUCCCUGCAUGGGGUGUUGGUGGAAACUUUUUUGGGUGGGGGAUGUGCUCGCGGCCUAUCAGCUUGUUGGUGGGGUAAUGGCCUACCAAGGCUUCGACGGGUAGCCGGCCUGAGAGGGUGACCGGCCACACUGGGACUGAGACACGGCCCAGACUCCUACGGGAGGCAGCAGUGGGGAAUAUUGGACAAUGGGGGAAGCCUGAUCCAGCAACGCCGCGUGAGGGAUGACGGCCUUCGGGUUGUAACCUCUUUCAUCACCGACGAAGGCUCAUUCUUUUGGGUGGGUUGACGGUAGGUGGAGAAGAAGCACCGGCCACUACGUGCCAGCAGCCGCGGUAAUACGUAGGGUGCGAGCGUUGUCCGGAAUUAUUGGGCGUAAAGGGCUCGUAGGCGGUUUGUCGCGUCGGGAGUGAAAACACCGAGCUUAACUCGGUGCUUGCUUUCGAUACGGGCAGACUGGAGGUAUGCAGGGGAGAACGGAAUUCCUGGUGUAGCGGUGAAAUGCGCAGAUAUCAGGAGGAACACCGGUGGCGAAGGCGGUUCUCUGGGCAUUACCUGACGCUGAGGAGCGAAAGUGUGGGGAGCGAACAGGAUUAGAUACCCUAGUAGUCC
rnacentral:rRNA from 1 species